GCAGAAGGGAUGGGGCCAGAGAGGCGUGGGUAAAAGCAGACCCCAAGAAAGGGCAGGACAUUUCAGGUGAAGAAAGGUAAGCCGAGUCCGUGAAGUCAAGGGCCAGGCUGUGGAGAUUAAAGGAGGUCAAAGAGAGGUCAUAGCUUCAUACCUCACUUCCUGACACAAACAAGUUUUUACUGUUGUCAGCAACAAAGCCCUAAUAUAGCUGCGGAAGAGAAAAACUGCGUUGCAUUUUGCCUCUUGAGAGCACCAUCAACAGUUACCGGAGGAAUGUAAUUCCAGAAAGCUCUGAAACUGGUGGUGAUGGGAAUUAUGGACCAAAUGCCUGGUUCUAUUUGUUGUUAUUCUUUGGGCAUUUCUGUUCUACCAGCGAUCUGCGAGUGAGCUCACUGAGGGGGCAAAUCUGGUUUUUCUUUGUGACUUUGUAAAAUUUAAUCAGGCCUGAGAGGAAACUCACAGCUUUCGGGAGAAAAUAAAGUAGGAACCACGAAAUGUCAUUUAACAGAGCGUGGGUUUGGUGACUGCAGGAAAGGAUUUAAGGACGCUCCUGUUCCGUUUGCUGUGUAAUGAGCACGGGCUCCACGCACGCACCGACGCCACAGCUCCCGGAUGCAGUGGCUCCCUUAUCUGGGCUUCUGCAGCGCCACAAGCCCCUUCGGGAUGCUGCGAGGGGCUCCUGGUGGGUGGUGGUACAAACGCUGCGGCCGCUGCUGCCGCCGCCGCCGGUCCUGCUGCUGUUGUUGCUGCUGCAGUCACGUGGGAGCCCCUUUAAGUUUCCAUAGAGAGGCCUCUCCGGUGUCACAUGAUGGACAUGAUAUAAUGAAACAACAUUGUGGAGAGGAAAGCAUUAGGGGAGCCCACGGCUACAAAAACAAGUGAGUGAGAAGAGGUGGGAGAAAAAGAAACUACGCCACCUUCCCUGCAGCCGAGCGCACGCAGCAGCCUGGCGUGACAAGUGGGCGACGCCGGGGGCAGGGAGUGGGGGGGUCCUCGGCCCGCCCCGGGGACCCUGUUGUCCACCGUGCGCAGAACAACUUUUAACCGGCAGCCCCGCACCUGUCUCUGAGUCCCCAUCGCUCCCCGCGACCAUCCUGGGAAAAUUCUAGAAGAAUACGCUCUCGGAAUCUACGUGCGCAUCAUUUUCCUCCUCGCUCCGGAGGAAGGAGCCAGAAAGGAAAGCAGAACUGCGUAAUGUUCAGACCACCGAACCACCAUGGCUCCCAGGGAUGGUGUCCUCUGCAGGCAGAGUUUUGUCUCACACACUUCUGGGAAUCUUAACUAAAGACUCGAGCUAGCAGGAGUCUGCAACGUCUCUGCCUUGCUGGUCCUCGCUGAUGACUGGUUCACGGGAGCAUUGAGCAUAGCUCAGAGCCAUUGGUUGCACAAAUGGCUGACUCAGUAGCUCAAGCAAAGAUGGGAAGUCAGCCUGGCAAGCUGGGAUGUGAGAGUUCACUUGCUGUUCUCCAUUUAGCCAGGAGGUUUCCUAGGCAACCACUUAAGCAGCAAUUAAAGAGGAAGAACUAAAAGGGGGAAAAUGUCAGCAAUCUGGGCUUUUGUAACAACACAAAAAAUCACCAAACAGGCAAGUGAAAUUAGUUGUGUGUAUAUUAAUUGCAUGUAUAUUUAUAAGUGCUAGAAUAGUAUCUGACAAAGGAACCAGUAUGUGUUUGCCCUUUCAGUUAUUGUAAGUGUACCAGGCCCCAAACGAACUAGUUGUUAACGUAGAAAAUGCCACACAAAGUCACGCCUUCUGUUCCAAGGGUGAAUUUAGAUAUGGCCUGAGUGGAUCUAAGAACCUUUUAUCUUGGCAUAUCAAUUCAUUUUUGCCUUUAAGCACUUUAUAAUAAUAUAAUUGAUAAUUACUUUGAAUGUCAAAUUGGGUUCACUUUUGAAACUAAAGCACUGUUUUGAAAUUUGUUGAUACUUUAAUAAUUUUAAGUAAUAGUGAUUAUUAUGGUUAUUAAACUUGUGAAGACAGAACCUCAUAUAGUGCCAGCCACUCCCAAACUCUUUAUGUAGCUGAGGUUGGCCUUAAAGUCCUGAUCUUUAAACUGGGUGGUGGCACACAACUUUAAUCCCAGCACUUAGGAGGCAGAGGCAGGUGGAUCUCUGUGAGUUCAAGGCCAGCCUGGUCUGCAGAAAGAGUUCCAGGUCAGGCUCCAAAGCUACACAGAAAAACCCUCUCUUGAAAAACCAAGGGAAAAAAAGUCCUGAUCCUUUUGCCUCUGCCUCCUAAGUGCUGGGAUGACGGGUAUACACCACCAAUGCCCAGCCUUGAAAUUUCUUAAUAAAUAAAAAAGUGUGUGUGUUGGGGGCAGGGAUGUGGACGUCAAAGGUUAAGUUCUCUUUUUCUCUGCCAUGUGAGUCCCAGGUAUUGACCUCAAAUCAUCAGACUUGAUGGGAAGCACUUUAAAUUGCCUGAGAGUUUAUCAUUUGGGGAAAUGGAGAAUAGCUUUGUUUACAGGUGGUGGCUUCCAAGGUGGCUAGGGACUAGCAUUAAUGAUACAUAAAGAUGGCCAUGUUCUGAGAGCAGCAGAUAACUUGGAGGAGAUCCCCAAUUGUUGAAGUCCAACUUUGUGGUACCAGGGAGACUUUGGCACUGAGUGAGUGAUGAUAAAGAGACGUGUUUGUGGAUUUAGCAAGCACCUCCCCUUCCUCUUCAUUUGCCCUUUGUCUCUUUGGUUCUGCACUGUAUUCAAACUCGUGUCUCCUCAUAUGGCGAUGCUCUUAACUUCAUUCUCAUUUUCAACUUCUCUGUCGUCUUGGUUUCUCUCCUUCAAUGCUUCAGCGGCAUGGCAUCCCUUUACUCAGGGAGAGGGACUGAUCUGGUAGACUUCUCUGGGUGGCCUUCAUGAUGCAGCUUCUCCUCCCCCUCCACCCCCGAGGUGGCUUGGUAAGUUUCCUGCCUGCCUUAUCUUAAAUGCAGUGUCACUUGGUGUUUGCUGUGGCUCCCUGCUUGGGUUUUGGGGUUCCUCUUCUCCUGGGAGGUGCUAGCAUGGGCAUUACGGGUACCACAGGUGCACUGAAUAUGCCAGUCAGCAACACUCAGACCCAUAGGAUGAAAUAGUACUAAGCACUGUGUUCAUUUAUACCUGUCACAGUUUUCUAAUCUCUGUUUGUCUCUUUACAUAGCCCUGCCUAUUCUGAAACUCAUUAUGUAGACCAAUCUGACUUCAAACACACAGAGAUCUGCCUGCCUCUGCCUUCCUCAGUGUUGGGAUUAAACACCUGGCUCUCUAGUCCGUUUUUUGCUAUCACUUACUAUUUCUUUUUAAUACGGGUUCUGACUCCCAGGGUAUUGUCUGGCAGAGUUGUGAGACUUUGUGCUGUGUCAGCGGCCCAUGGGUCCAUGCCCUUGAGUUUGUGUUCCACGCACUGCUGCUUCUUUGUCCUUAAAUCCCCUGCAAACUUGGCAUAAUUUAAUUUUAAAAAUUAUUUAAUAUGUAUGAGUGUUUUCCUGAACGUGUGUGUGUAUAUGUAUGUGUGUAUGUGUGUGUGUGUGUGUGUGUAUGUAUACACUGUGCGUGUGCCAUGUCCUCAGAGGUCAAAGAGCAUCAGAUGCUCUGAACCUAGAGUUACAAACCAGGCUAAGGAUGCUGGGAACCCAACCCUGUCUUCACUGCUUAUUUCUUUGCCAUGAACUUUCACCUUUCUGUAACUGACCUCUCUUUUUCCUACUUGCCAUUCUCUACUCCGCUGUCUUUCUGUUUGAGCUUUGACACUGUGUUCCUGACAGUAACAGUCAUUUGCCAUCCCUCCGUGCUGCUAGAUCUCACCGUUAAACAGAACAGAAGAGGUAAGCCAGUCAGGAAAGUGCUUAUCCUAUAAAGCUGAGGACCUGAAUUUGGAUCCUCCUCCCUGGAGAAAGCCAGGUGUGGCAGCUUGUAUCUGUAAUCACUUAAUCGCUAGCACUGUGGGGCAGAGACAGGAGAGUCCCUGGCACUCAAUGGCCAGUUAAUCUGACCAAAUCAGUUGAGCACUAAGAGACUCUGUUCCACAAACAAACAAACAAACUGGCCACAAGUGAUACAAGGACACCUGAGAGUGACCUUUAGCCUCUGCCUGCACGUGCAGGUACAUUUGAACUCAUUUGUUUCCACACGAAGAUCUUGCCAUUAAAUUUUAAGAAAACAACUACUUCUGCACUAAUUCUCAUUUUAUAUUGAAAUGUAGAGUCUCUCAGAAACACAACGGAUCUCAAAAUCCCCCUGUCUUCACUCCCCAGCCCCCCAUGAGUGGUCAGGUCUGGGGUUCACAUGGUUGUAGAGUAAUAGUGAGGUCUUCCUUAAUUGGCCCUCAUCUGGGUUGGUGUCAAACACUCCAGAGAGACACCUGCUGGUCAAAAUGUAGUAUUGCGUGGUGUUCUCUUCUGGAGUUUGUCAUAGGGACCUUAACCUUUCUUAUGUGGAUAUGUUUUAUACUGGAAUGUACAGAAGUUUUCCUCUCUAAGCUCCUCAUACAUACGUGCUGUUUGUAGCUCACAUCUGAUGAUCUAAGAAGUAUUCACAUCUUAGAAUUUGGUUCAAGGAGUAGAGAUGUAAUGGAGGACAGGAUUUCAUGAUAAAAUCCUAUUCCUGAGCUUUCUGCAUGGAUAGUGGGGCUGCAAAAUACCAUGCACUCAUUAUUUCUCAGACUUGGGUCUUUUAAAGGAUUGUGAAAGGGGUAACUUGCUUCUCCCAGACAAGUUAGAGCUUCCCUUUCUAGAUGGCUUAGUUUAUUACAUGAAAGGUGCAUUUGGUCCUGUUUACAAACUUUGCAAUGGAAAAGUAAAGCCAGAGACAAGGGGAGCUGGCUCAGUGAUUAAGAGCACAUGUUGCUUAAGAGGACACACAUUUGCUUCCCAGCCCCCAUAAGGUUGCUCACAACCACCCCUAACUUCAGUUCAGGAGAUCUGAUGCUCUCUUCUCACCUUAGGCGUGAGAUGUGUACAUGAUGCACAUAUGUACAUGCGGGCAAAGUACUCAUACAUAGGAAAAAAUCAAAAGUUAAAAUAUAUACAUGCGGGCAAAGUACUCAUACAUAGGAAAAAAUCAAAAGUCAAAACAAUUUUUAAAAAAAAAAUCCAGGGGGCUGGAGAGAUGGCUCAGAGGUUAAAAGCACUGAUUGCUCUUCCAGAGGUCCUGAGUUCAAUUCCCAGCAACCACAUGGUGGCUCACAACCAUCUAUGAGACCUGGUGCCCUCUUCUGGCAGGCAGGCAUACAUGCAGACAGAACAUUGUAUACAUAAUAAAUAAAUAAUUGAAAAAAAAGAAUGGGGUCUUCACAGCAGGGGCAUGCAGCCAGGCUUUUUAAAAAAAGAAAAGAAAAAAAAAUCCAGGGUACUGAUACUUGGCUUCAGAGCUCCAAUUAGGGCAUCAUGGUGGUUCUGUGCAAUGCUUAUCUGGGGAAGGUGUCACUGAGUGCGGAGGCAAGCUGGCUUCAAAAGACAUGACAAAAUGCAUAAUUGUGUGCUUCGAAGGCUAUACUAUGUCCAGAACAGAUUUUAAGGACUAUUAUGUACAAAAUGGUCUUUUAAUUUAAAUAAAGCAGUAGUAGCCCAUCUCCCUUUGGCAGAUAUUUGAAAACUGAUAGGUAACUGUUAAGAACCUUUGACUGGAUUAUUUCUCUUGUUGCUUAGACAUAAGAUUUUUCACCUGUUUGCUAACUUGUCCUUGUUUAGGUUUCUACUCCUAGGUGAAGGGCAGUUGGUAGGAAACCACUAGAAUGUGUGUGUUAGUCCCUGUAGCCAGCAACUCCAAGCAAGCAAGAUGCGGAGCUCAGUGUGGGUCUACCUGCCAAGCAUCCUCAUGCUGUCUCCGUCCAUCUUUUUUUUAGUAGGUAAGCUCAGCGUCACAGGACAGAAUUGCAGUGUCUUCAGAGAGUGACAGAACUGGGCAAACGGAGCUGUUGACUUAAGAGAAUAAAUCUAGCGGCAUCUGGGAACAUAAAGUAAUGUGUUUGGGUUUUGUAACCUCAAAUAUGAAGAACGUUUAUUUUAAAAUAGGUUUUCCAUCUUUCUGGCUAUUGUCCUGUGGAACUGUUCCUUUUUUCAAGGCACCUGGAUUGAUCUGAAGAUUGAGAAAAGCCUGUGUCAGGCAGCCAAGCUUAUGUGAGACUAGAAGCGGGCUAAACAAGAGGAGGUGAAAUAGUGUGUUUGAAGCAGUGUGUUCAGAAGGCUGGUUUUGAACCAGGGGCUGAAGUCCUAAAUGUCUCUCUUCAGAUAGUGUGCAUACUAAUUGUGUUCAGCAAUAGCCAGUGUUCCUGCCAGGCCCAGGUGAGAUGCUGCCAAAGCUGCAGCAGGAAGUUGUUGCAUUUGUGUCUCCUGUAGUUGGGAGUUUUGAUCUGCUUUGCCUUUUCUGGAUUUACAUGGCAAAGAAAAUAAUGUUAGGCUAGGGAGAUACCUCAGUCACUGGUCCUGCUAUGCAGGCAUGAGGACCCCAGUUCAUAUCUUGGCACCCAUGUGAAGCUAGCUUUAAGUACAUGUCUGUAACUGUAGCACUGAGUGUUGAGGAACAGAGACAGGAGGAUUCCUGAGGCUCUUGGGCCAGCCAGUAUGUCCAGUUCAUGAACUCCUGCUUAAAUGAGAGCCCUGCACCCAAGUAACUGAGAAAGGCAUCUGAUGUCAGCCUCUAGCUUUCCCAUGUGUGUGCACACACAUACGCACAAAACAGUAAUUUUUAAAGGUAGUAAUGGUGUUACAUUUGGGAGUCCCACGUACUAAGCAUCAGUUAAAAACAUAAGGCUAGGCUCUACUGUCGUUCAGUUUAAUGUUCUCAAGAUCAGGAAGCCCAGGUGAGCAUAGGCCAAAAUAUACUUUCCUACCCUUGCUGAGAAUGAUGUGACAACCAGAACCUCAUUGGAAUCUCAGACUAAUUGGGUCCAAGUAAUACUGAAGCAGAGGAAGAGACCUGUUCAGUCACCCUCAUCAAGUUAGACCAUGAAACCCAAUAUAUGGACAAGUUCAAAAGAACUGCCAUAUACGAUAUGGGCUGCCCCUGCUUGCUUCGGCUUUGCCAGGGCAUAAAUUUCAUUUUUCAAUUUCAAAUACUGAAGCAGUGUUUGCAGUUUUAAGGAGUUUCUCCUUUUACAGUAGGGGGUAUAAUAGAAUAACACAAUGACCCAAGCUCUCUGCAGUUGGUCGCGCUUUAAUAAUUUUGGUGUUACAAGUUCUAAAGUGGAUACUUGAAAAUUGUACUCCACGUUUAAUCAUCAAAUAGAGUAAUAUAAUUAGGAGUACCUUCCCCAGAUGAAGUGCUUGUAUGCAGUAAGGUGUCACUAUAUCAGCACUUGAGGUGUUGCUGUGUCAGGGAUUAGGAAGAUAAGAGGUGGACAUACAAGCACUGGGUCAUUGUGUGUGUAUGUGUGUACGUACAUGCACAAUGUUUAGUUGUAGCUGCUUUUUACACCAACAGAUACUGUGGAAGGGCUACAGUUUCUCAUCUUUUCGCUUUUGUGAUUUUGUUUUGUUUUUUGUGUAUUUGUUUUGUUUUGUUACAGUAACCAUCCUGAAAGGUGGGGAGCAGUAGCCUACUGUGGUUUGUUUUGUUUUGAGACAGGGGCUGGUUUGCUCUGCCUCCUAGUGCUGGGACCAAAGGGGUGCUCUACUUCACACAGCUUGCACUGUGGUUUCCAUUUGCAUUUUCUUGCCAACCAGCAAUGUUGAGAAUCUUUGUAUGUCAUCGUUGGAGAAAUGCCAACAUUAGAGAUGAGACUGUUGUGUGACUGUCGGAUAGGUGGCUUACCCAGGCCCAGAGGACCCCUCUCCAGCCCCGCCUCCUGUGCCCUGCUGAGCUUCUUCACUUGCUCUGAUCCCACUUGUCUCCUUUCGCUUUUAUUCCUUGUGCUUCUGUCACAGUCAAGAAAUUUCCUGCCUAGAUGCAAUGACAAAGAUCUAGCUACCCUUGUAUUUUCUCCAAAUAACUUCUUGCAUUCAGGGUUUAAAUUUAAGUUUUUAGUCCAUUCAUGCACAUUUUUAAUUUUAAAAAUUACUUGUAUGUAUUUAUGUGUAUGAGUGUGCACUUUUAAGUACACAUGGGCAGUACAGUUCAUGUGUGGAGGUCAGAAGAUGGCUCACAGGGGUAGGUGCUCUCUGGUCCUGGAAAUGGAGCUCAGAUUAUCAGGCUUGACAGCAGGUGCCUUUCCCAUCGAGCCACCUCACCAACUCUUGGAACGUAUUAUUUUGUAGGGUGUUAAGACAGAUCCAGUUUUAUUAUUUUCCAUCUUCUUGAUCCUGUAUAUUGAGGAGCCUGUUUAUUUGUAUUUCUAGGUGUCCUUGUCGAGAUCAAUUGGCUCUACACAUAGGUUUAUUUUCCCACUGGAUUCGUCUGUUCUAUUGACAUUACCAUACUGCUUUAAUAACUGUAGCUUCAUGGUGUAUUUAGAAGUCAAGUCAUAUUGUUCCUUCCUUAUUCUUCUUUCUUGAGUCUCCUUGGACUGUUGCAAUUCCUUAUUGUUCUUAAGAAUUUGAGGAUACAUUUUGCUAAACAUUGUGACCAGGAUUUAUUUUGCAGUGUUAAAACAUUAUUUAUUUUGUGAGUGUCCACUCAUAUCCCAGUUCACUGGUUUUUCCACUUUGCCAGCUUGAGGGCAGGAAGGACAGAGGCCCACCCUUAUCCUCCAACAAUGAAGGCUUUGUGAGCUACUUUCAAACCUGGAACAACUUCCUUCUUUAACAAAAGCUCCUCCCUUAAAUGUUCCCUGUCCUCCCAGCUCUGUAUUCUUCCUUAACUCCAAAACAACUGCCCUCAUUUCUGUAUUCUAGGGAGGCCUCAGCGAGAUCCUUAAAACAAGCAAAACCUGCGGCUACAAAGUUGGUAGUCGUGUUGUUUUUCCUGGCAUAAAUGCAGGGGUUUUGCGAUGGAGGUUUUUGUUUUUGUUUUGUGUUGAGACAGAGUCUUAUGGGGACCUCAGGCUAGCCUUGAAUUCACUAUGUAGCCAAGGAUGACUGUAAACCUUUGAUCCUCCUGCCCCCACAUCCCAAUAAGUGGAUUACAGGCUUGUGGUACCACGCCUAGUUUGAUUUACUGGGGAUUGAAUCUUGGCAAGUGUUCUAACAGCUGAGCUAUGUCCCCAGCCCCUGGUGCAGUUUUAAAUGUGUUAAUAAAUUAUGUUUGCAGAAGAAACCAUUUUUUGUAUUUGAUUGUCCUGUGCUUAUAAAAAAUCUCAUGUCCAUUUAAAAAAAAAAAGCGUCCUCUCCACAUUCGAGGUUCUCCCCUCUACUGCAGGUUGUCUUGAAAAGAAUGCUCCUGCUCGGCUCAGGAAGCAGGCAGGGUAAGGGGACGGGAAGGAAAAGUCCUUGCAUGCUAUUGCCCUUGCAACAAGUACCGACUGCUUCGUGCAGACAUCACUGCUCUCCCAAGGGUAUCUUUCUCAGAAGCAGAUUGACUAUAUUAGUACACAACUGAAUCAUCUUCUUAUUUUUUGAAACCACAGUGUGUGUUCCAGACCAUGUCAAAUGUACUGGUGUCAGACACACUGAGCACUUUAUAGAAAUGAACAGGUCGGUCUGUUCAUUAAGAGAAACAGCCUUAAGAUACCCAAACAUCGUUUUAAUGAUGGACUGUAAAGUCAUCUUUCCUGCCUCUUCUGUGAAUUAAGUCAUGUGUAAACAGUACUAUUCAAGGAAGAUUUUACUUUAAUGGUGCUGUCUGAACUGUAUGUUCUAAAAUGAGAAUAACUUUUAAUUUUUAAGUCACCUAGAGACUAUAUGGAAAAAUAAAAAGGAAGCGUCAUACAACACAGUCACUGCAGUGAAGCCCCAGAUUUUAUUCAAGUGUUUCAUUACAUUUAAAAAUGCCCUAAGUUGCUGGGUGGUGGCGGCAUAUGCCUUUAAUCCCAGCACUCGGGAGGCAGAGGUAGCGGAUCUCUGUGAGUUUGAGGCCAGCCUGGUCUACAAGAGCUAGUUCCAGGACAGGCUCCAAAGCCACAGAGAAACCCUGUCUCGAAAAACAAAAAAAAAACAAAACAACAACAACAACAAAAAAACAAAAACCCUAAGCUAUUCUGAAAUUAAUCCUCCAUGUCACAAUGUGUAGACUGUCCACAUAUAUUAAUUUUGGUAACUUUGCUCAUUUUUCCCCAGAAGGUACGUGCGUGGUAGAAACCUGCAGUUAUAGUUACAUGUCAGGUGAGUAUUGCCUUCGUAUGUUAGUUGCACUGACUACUUCAGCUCACACAUUGGAAGAAGGGCUGUAUCAUAGCUGUUUACUCAGCAUUUGUGCUAGGUUCUUUCACUGGGAGAAGCAGCUUAAAGGAAAAAGGAAUUACGUUGUCUCACAGUUGAAAGGGACACAGUCCUCAAAUCUGCAAGAACUAGUGUACAUGCAGGUGCCCCACCUACCCUUCACAGCAACCCCCUUCCUCCAGCUAGGCCCCACCUUUUAAAGGUCCCACAGUUUGUCAGAACAGCUCUAUCAAGUAUUCAUUAAGCAUUUAACAUAGGAGCCUGUAGGGUGACAUUUCACAUCCAAAUUACAACCUUUAAAUAGCAAUUUGAGUGGUGUUUAAAAAGUAAGGCUCAUACUCGAGUCUGAGUCCUAGGACUCACGCUGCCAGCAACAGUGUUGAUUCUUACUGUCUGUAUAGACUCUGUUAUAAAAGCACGCUAAGUAACCCAAAAGGAAAUCAGGAGGUUCGAUGGGCAAAGGCUGUGCCUCAUGUUUAAUGUUUUCCUGAAUUCUGGCUGUAUGUGCAUCACACUGUGGUAGACCUCCAGUUCUCUCAGAGCCUGUUAGAAGCUGGUGAGGCCCCUAGUGAGGCACUGCUGGGGCUCCACACUACAACCGACCCCUUCUCUUGUGGGUUUUUUCUAUUUUGUAGUUUGUUUUCGAGACAAGGUUUCUCUGUAGUUUGGAGCCUGCCCUGGAACUAAGCUUUUGUAGACCAGGCCAACCUUGAACUCACAGAGGUCCACCUGCUCUGCCUCCCCAGUGCUGGGAUUAAAGGUGUGCACUGCCAGGCUUCUGUUGUGAUUUAAAUAAGAAUCAAUUUAUUGGAGAAAUGUAAGUCUGCUUGUUUCAUUGGGGUUUUUGUUGUUGUUGUUUUGUUUUGUUUUGUUUUUCUGCAGCACAGAGGAAGAUGGAUUUUGUGUUGCUCUUUUAGGGAGCUUGGUAGUGUGCCCUGGGGCACUAAACAUGAGGAAGUGAGGCUAGACUUGGGGGCAGUUCAUGUUUCCUGUCUCCCAGUGUCCUCAUGGUUGUGUUCCUGAUGCCCUACAACAAAGAUCAUGGCUUGAUAUGCCAAACUCCAUGUCUCAUACUACAUUGCAGGCAACUGACUUAAUGUUUGUGAUGUUUAUCUGUAAAACAAAUACUUUCAGUGUCUAAUUUAUGGGUCUGCUGAGAGGAUCAAGGGAGUUAAUGGUGUAUACAAUGUAUAAAACAUGCUGUGGCACAUGAUGAGCAGUGUUUGAUAGCUGCGAUUACUGUAAUUAAUCCUGCUUAACAAUUGACAAUUAACCCUAUGUAAUGGAUUAGAAGUGGGUUUUUAUUGUUGGGGUCUUUUGUUUUUUUAAGCUUCAUUCUUUUUUAACCCCCCCAGGGAGAAUAGAUACAGGGUGACUGACUGAAUAAUGACUUACAAGAUACCUUCAGGACCAGUGUUUAGCAUAGUGCAAACACGUCUUGGUUUAUGGAUUAGUUCCCAUGAUAAGAAGGAUGGCAUAGUUCCAAUUCAAAUUAAAUCUACAUGUGAUCCACCCACUUCAUUUCAAGCAUGAUUUCCUAAUGGACCAGUUUCUUUCUCAGAAAGGAUUGUUUUUGGUAUUUUUUUGGUUUUUCGAGACAGUGUUUUUCUGUUUAGCCCUGGCUGUCCUGGAACCCACUCUGUAGACCAGGCUGGCCAUGUCGAACUCACAGAGAUCCCCCUGUGCCUGCCUCCCGAGUGCUAGAAUUAAAGGUAUAUGCCAACACCGCUUGGGAAAGUACACGCCACAUGCAUGCAGUUAUGUAAUUGUGAUGAACUCUUGAAUUCUUCCAGCACCAAUGGAUUGUGCGUGGUGGGUUGCGGCACAGUGUCACAGGGACCCGGAGGAGCAGGCCUGUGGUGGACAGCAGCUGUCUCACUCCCUAAACUCCCCUGCGGGCAGAACUGGAAAUCUGCCGCUCAGCACUCACACACUUUUAUUUUUAUUUUACUUUUAUUAUAUAAAACAAUUUUUAAAUUUAAUUGUUUUGUUCAUAUUCUUCCUUCCCGCCAAGAUCUCCUCCCUACUCACCUAACUUUAAAUUCUUCCUCAAAAAACAAACAAAAAUCUGAUACAAACCCCACCCCCCAAAAAACCCAUGAAACAAAAUAGACCACCACCCAGAAAGAAGAGAGGAAAGGAAAAAAAAAAAAACAACAAA